UUUAAUGUAAUUAAGAUCGUACAGUUAUGUAUCAUGCUUUUUUAUCACCAUGAAUAUUUAUCAUUUCAAAGUCCCCAAACUUUGAGUAUUUUGAUAACCAAGAAUACACUAACUACACCAACUCCAUCUUCCGGGCCCGUUUGGGCCUCUGUCCACUGUUCUCCGUAGAAGGUGAGUUUCAUCCAAUGGGGACGGAUAGGUCAUUCCAGAGCCGAUCUGUGGGGCUCCAAGGCCCAAGGAUGAUUGAGCUUGCGUCCACGCAGAUCCGCCUUCUCAGGCCCUCGGAGGCCCCAACGGCCGUCCGUGGCAUUCGAGUGGCCGCCAUUCUUCUUGCCCCGCCACACCCAACGUCCAAAGGCGCCGCGUGCCCGCUGGCUGGGCGAGGGUUGCGUGCAGGGCCCACACAGUUGGGCUAGGGGAGUGGGCAGCCAGCGAGGUCUGGGCUCCGAGAGGCCGCCGCCAUCGGCGCCAAGGUGGGGGUGGGAGUCGGGGUGGGGAGAGCCUCGCGGCUGCUUCACAGUCUGCGCCUGGCCGGUGGACGGCUGUGGCGAGGGCGCUGGCUCUCUGCGGGUCAGAGCCCGUGACCUGUCCCCGGGCCUCCCAAGGCACCCGCCGGCCUGAGGCUGGGGGGCCUGGAGGGCCCCGGGACAGACUGCCGCGCUGCACUUCUCACCUCGCUCUCUGCUGGAACUCGGUUCCUUUUUCUUACAAAACCUGUACUUGGGCAGAACAAGCAGAUGAGGACUUGUGUGCAGAGACUACACCUGUUGGUCUGGCUUGCAGCUGGAAUUGGAGAGGAAAUUUAUUUCCAUGAAUGGAGAAGUGUCAGAGUGAGCAGGCACAGAACAGGCUCGCGAGAAUAACUUUGGGGCAAAAUGACUUUAGAAGAUCAACCAGCCAACCAAAUAUAAGGAAGUUACAUGAUGCCAUUAGUGCAGAAACUUCCAAAUGGAUGCAAGAAUCAAAGCCUUCAAGAAGCUGAUGUGAUUGGCACUUGGAAUAGGUCUCUUAUUAAUUCACACGGACCAUAAAAGUAAUCUUAUCUAGAAUCUUCCAUUUAUAGCCCUUGUUAUUUUCUCCCUUUAUUUUCACCUCUUCUCUUCUGCUUGGCUUCCUAAUUCCUGGGUAUCUGACUCCGGUAACAUCUGCAGCUUCUCAACUGGGAUGUUUAUGGGGUGUCAGAUGCCUACACAUCGAGAACUCUUCCUGUAUCUGGGAAUUAGACGUGAAGAGAAAGAAAACAGGGCAUGAGACCAUGUACACCUUAGCUCCGAGUUAGGUCAUCUGAAAGCUGUGUCCCUGGACCUCGUUAUCUUAGCUUCCCACAGAACAGCAUCCAACGAAUUAAGAUUGAAUAUCAUGUCUUCAGCUUUUAUAGAGGGCAGCCGACACAGAAAUGUACUUGCGAAGAACAAACCUGGGUAUUUUGCAAAAGCACAGUGGAGGACUUUAUUAUGUUACCCAAAGUCCUUUUUAUAAGAAUUGGGCAUUUCCUAAAAAUAAUUUGGAGGAAGCAGAGACAGAUGUGCAAUGCAGCUUGACUAUGGGGCAGGAGACCUUGGGCUGAUUCCAGCUUUGCCUCUUGCCAAAUGUCUCAUCCUUGGUAAGUCACAUAUCCUCUAGGGAUUUCAAUUGGGUCAUCUUUAAAAUGGGAUAAUUAUAUCCACUUUGCCUAUUGAACAGAGGACAUACAUAUUUUGGUGUGUUGACAGAUAUAAGGUCAGAGGGAAGGUGGUUUGUGAGGAUGAAGCCUUUGGCCAGUGGCCUGGGCAGCUCAGCUGUCAUCCUCAGGGUAUAAUUAGAGGGACUUGAAGGUCAUCUAAGUGCUUCCCUCCAUUAACCCUAACGUUUCCGCCUUUAGAUUCUUUUUUCAGGAUCCCAUAGGAAAUUUGUAUAUUUCAUGGGUUAUUGACUGAAGGAAGUCAGAUUUCUAUUUCAAUUUAGCUCUGUUCCAUUUUUGCUAAAACUUUUGAAGAAAAUGAAUUAUUUCUUGUUAAGUUUAGACUUCUACUAGCUUGGAUGCGGUUUGUAAAUUAGAAUGCUUUUUUGGAACAUGAUAUCAUGGGUAGAAGUUUUCAGAUGAGCACGUCUUCUGUGUCUGUACCGUGUGGUUCCGUUAACUGAUCUACAUCAGCACAGAUCUGGUCACCUUUUGAGGCUUCAAGGGCAUGUGGCCUUUUAGGAGAGAAAUAGAGCUCUCAGGUGAGAGGUGUAGGAUGAAUAAGUGGUAAUAGAGAGUAGGGUGGGAUGGUGGAAGUUUCUGGAGCACUUAGUAUUCAGUAUCAGGCCGGAGGUGAGCUUUCUCCAUAAAGAGUGAGGGAAGCUGGGGAGAAUUGGGCUUUCUAGCAUAAGAAUAGGCUGAAACUGACCUUCUGGAACUUGGGCCUCAAACCUAUUUGCAAAAUAUUGCUUUUUUUGCAUGGCUUGGGGGAGACUCAGGAGUGACUUAGGGAUUCCAUGUGGCUUCCCAAGCAGGAAGCCAGACAGUUCAUUGCUUCCACAAAAUUCUACCAACCUCCCACUUUCCACAUGGGUUCUUUGGUUCUGUGGGACAAAUGGGUAUGGAUUACCAUUUUAUCGAUAAAGAGAACGAGGAGCCAGAAAUGUUAUUGAGCCAGAAAGAUUACUUGUUGAAAUCACACGACUAGUUACUGGCAGGGCUGAACCUGGGAGCCAGUGUUGGGAGAGGGAGUCCUCCUCAGGCCUCAUGUAUGCCUGUGGAGUGUGCCAAGACUGCUCUUUGCCCCAGGCCACCUUUAGAGUUGUUCUUGCUGCUGAUGCCCUUGAGAAAUGAGGGUAACGUCUCCCCACCCUCUGCCCCUAAAAGGCAGACUUGUUUACUGUUGGCUGUGAAGACAGUGGAUUCCCCAAGCUCAGUGUUCCUGGGCCAUGACACAAACCCACUUUACCUGUAAUACUGACCUGGGCCGGGGAUCACUCCUGUGGACCUUGAGGGCAAGAGGAGCUAGUGCCAAUAUGUUGAUGCUCAUGCCGCCUGCUGUGUUGUGAGUAAUACGGGUCUUUGUUUCUGACCCAGGAGCUCAUGUCUCCUGCCAGCAUCCAUAAAAUAGAAUCAGGCUAACCUGUUAGUGUGUAAGUGGGGUAAAGUCACAUCUUAAACCUGACAUCUAGCUUCCUGAAUCCUGGGUGGAGCUCCUUCCACAGGAACGCCUUCUAUAAAUACCUCAACCCCAAGGGAAGGUAUGAUGGUCACAAAGCUCAUCUGGUGAUAUGACUGGAUCUGCUCCAAGUUCCUUCCUUUUGAUUUUCUGGGCCUGGGCCUCCGUUAGCAGGCCUUCGGUAGGUAUCGAUUGUGGGUAGUUGACUGGCUCAUUGGUAAAUAGGGAUCCCUAGAGGCCAGCAGAGGCCAGCCCAUGGAAGUGAUAGGGAGGGAGCUGGGAGGAAGAGGGAGAAUGGAUAAGGGAGGAGGAGGAUCAUUUGGCAAAGACAUUUACUGUCCCUUUCCCAUUUUCUGUACCAGUCAUACCAUGACAAGAGGAGUAAGGGUAGCGAAGCUGCUCCACUGAGGCAGGAGCAUCCUUGAGGAUCUCGGGAAUGGGGGAGGGAGGGAAAGGCUAGUGGCCUAUGGGAGGCACCGUGUGAGGGAGGAGGGCUGCUGGAAGAACAGCUCACUUGGGGAGAGGUCCCACUGUGUGAUUUGGGGUAGAAGAGGGGAAGCGAGGCCAGGGUAGCAUCACGAUCUCACCCGGAAAACACUGAAGUCCAUUUUUACCUUGCUGACUAGUUCCUUGUAAGAAUCCUAAAGAAAUCUUAGCCAGUGAGGAGAACUCCAACCAGGAGCGAGUGUUCCAGGCCCUUUAAGCCUGAUGAGCCUCCUCACACACAUGGUCCACAGAAAGUGAGGCCAACUCUCCCCAAGACAUAUCAACUGCUAAAGAAGUCUGAAAUGAUAGCAGGUGUUUUUCAAAAUAACUUUCCCUUUAUUGACUAAAGUAGAUAGGCCUCUGUCAUAAAACUUUAAUUGCUCAUCAAAUAUUUGGCUAAAAUUGAGUCAUUUUCUUUUAGGGGAAGUUAGCAUUCUUAAAUCACUAGCAAACGAGAGGUUUGUAAAAAAUUUACCAAAGCACUCUUUGUGUGUAUACACAAUGGUUAAUGGUCAAUAAAUAGACACUUUUCUUUAUUGCCUAGAGGUUCUGUCUAAUGUUUAAUUUUUAAAAAUUGUACCACUUAUAUGAGGUGUGUAAUGUAGUCAAACUCCUAGAAAUAGAAAGUAGAGUGGUGGUUACCGGGGGUGUCAAGGAGGGGGGAGUGGUGAGUUUUUAAAUAGGUAGAGUUGCAGUUUUGCAAGAUGAAAAAAUUCUGAAGCUCUGUUGUCCAACCAUGUGAAUAUACUUAGCUCUAGUUUAUGUUAUGUGUUUUUUAUCAUAAUCAAAAAAUUGUGGAGGACAUCAAUGUAGAGUGAACACAGUAUUGAUUUUAUAGUUUUAACUUCCCUGGUUGAUUUAAAUUCAUAUGUUCAUGCUGUGGGAAGAGGCAAAGUUCAGAGAAGGGAAAACAUCUUUUUUGCUAAAUUUUAGAGAACUCCUCAGGCUACUAAGUAGCAGUUAGUUGAAUGUCUGCUCAAUAUAUAUGUAUAUAUAUACCACACGAGCACACACACGUAUGAAAUUUGAAUACACUCACAUUUCACUAGAGAUCAUUGCAUAUUUUCUUGUGUGAAAGAAAAAUCAUAUCAAUGCUUAUUCAUUUUUCAGCCAUUAUAAAAGAUCACUAAUUAAAGAAGACACUUCUGGGCUUUCAUUCGAAAGGAAUGAAGAGAUAGUUCUAAACCCAGGUUCAUAGCAGCAUUAUUCACAACUGCCAAAAGGUAUAAACAACUCAAGUGUCCAUUGACAGAGGAAUGGAUAAGCAAAAUGUGGUCUAUACAUCCUUGGAAUAUUAUUCAGCCUUAAAAAGGAAGGAAAUUCUGAGACAGGCUAAAACAUAGAUGAACUCUGAAGACAUUCUGCUAAGUGAAAUAAGCCAGUCACAAAAAGACAAAUACUGUAUGACUCCUUGGGGUCAAAUUCAGAGAGACAGAAGUAAAAUGGUGGUUGCCAGGUACUUAUGGGGGUGAUGGGUGGGGGUAAUGGGGAGUCAUUGUUUAAUGGAUGUAGAGUUUCAGUUUUGCAAGAUGGAAAGAGUUCUGGAGAGGGACGGUGUUGAUGGCUACCCAACCAUGUGAAUGCACUAAAUGUCACUGAGCUGCACACUCAAAAAUGGUGGUUGUGAAUUUUGUGUCCUGUGUAUUUUACCUCAAUUAAAAAAAUAUUGAUAAAUGAUAAAA